rnacentral:sRNA from 1 species
CUGCCUCUAUGUUAGUACAGGAACAGCUGGCAGCUGGCCAUGUAGAACCCUCAGCUUCACCAUGGAAUACUCCUAUUUUUGUUAUUAAGAAAAAAUCAGGCAAAUGGCGCCUGUUACAAGAUUUGCGCGCCAUUAAUAAAGUUAUGCGUCCAAUGGGAGCCCUACAACCAGGCAUUCCUACACCAGUGGCUAUUCCCAAAAACUAUUGGAAAAUGGUUAUUGACCUAAAAGAUUGCUUUUUUACCAUUCCUUUACAUCCCGAGGAUAGACCCUAUUUUGCCUUUAG